rnacentral:tRNA from 1 species
GCAGAAGCUCGUUAUUUGAGGCACCUAGCUGUUAACUAGGAUUGUCGUGGGAUCGAAGCCCACCUGCCUAG